rnacentral:rRNA from 1 species
CCUACGGGGGGCAGCAGUGGGGAAUAUUGGACAAUGGGGGCAACCCUGAUCCAGCCAUGCCGCGUGUGUGAAGAAGGCCCUCGGGUUGUAAAGCACUUUCAGUGAGGAAGAACGCCUGGUGGUUAAUACCCAUCAGGAAAGACAUCACUCACAGAAGAAGCACCGGCUAACUCCGUGCCAGCAGCCGCGGUAAUACGGAGGGUGCGAGCGUUAAUCGGAAUUACUGGGCGUAAAGCGCGCGUAGGUGGCUUGAUAAGCCGGUUGUGAAAGCCCCGGGCUCAACCUGGGAACGGCAUCCGGAACUGUCAAGCUAGAGUGCAGGAGAGGAAGGUAGAAUUCCCGGUGUAGCGGUGAAAUGCGUAGAGAUCGGGAGGAAUACCAGUGGCGAAGGCGGCCUUCUGGACUUACACUGACACUGAGGUGCGAAAGCGUGGGUAGCAAACAGGAUUAGAUACCCUUGUAGUC